AACGAGUCUGCCCUCAAGGUGGACGGGACGGACGAUGAAAGCUUGUGGAGCUUCGUGAGUCUGUGUGACAGCGACCACGAUAAAAUGACAGGG